UACGUAGGUGACAAGCGUUGUCCGGAUUUACUGGGCGUAAAGAGCGCGCAGGCGGUCGAUCAAGUCGAGUGUGAAAGCCCCCGGCUCAACUGGGGAGGGUCAUUCGAUACUGAUCGACUCGAAGGCAGGAGAGGGAUGCGGAAUUCCAGGUGUAGCGGUGAAAUGCGUAGAUAUCUGGAGGAACACCGGUGGCGAAGGCGGCAUCCUGGACCGAGAUUGACGCUGAUGCGCGAAAGCCAGGGGAGCAAACGGG
rnacentral:rRNA from 1 species